rnacentral:rRNA from 1 species
GCGCGGCGAUAGAAUAUUGAAUGUAACAGUUCCCAAUGGAUCACUGAAGUUAAACAACGUUGAGCGUGGUUUGUAUCAGGAUAGGUGACCAUCUGAACAAUUGCGCGAACUGUUGGCU